rnacentral:rRNA from 1 species
GACGAACGCUGGCGGCGUGCUUAACACAUGCAAGUCGAACGGAAAGGCCCUGCUUUUGUGGGGUGCUCGAGUUGCGAACUGGUGAGUAACACGUGAGUAACCUGCCCUUGACCUUGGGAUAACUUCAGGAAACUGGGGCUAAUACCGGAUAGGAGCUCCUGCUGCAUGGUGGGGGUUGGAAAGUUUCGGCGGUUGGGUAUGUACUCGCGGCUUAUCAGCUUGUUGGUGGGGUAGUGGCUUACCAAGGCUUUGACGGGUAGCCGGCCGGAGAGGGUGACCGGCCACAUAGGGACUGAGAGACGGCCCAGACACCUUCGGGAGGCAGGAGUGGGGAAUAUUGCACAAUGGGCGGAAGCCUGAUGCAGCAACGCCGCGUGCGGGAUGACGGCCUUCGGGUUGUAAACCGCUUUCGCCUGUGACGAAGCGUGAGGGACGGUAAUGGGUAAAGAGGCACCGGCUAACUACGU